rnacentral:sRNA from 2 species
AUGUCCGAUAUGCCUAAUUCCGGGCGCGUCGCCCGGGAGCCGGGGACCCACCGCACUUGGGGUGAACCACUUCGGUGGAAGGGCUUCCUCCAGCCCGAACCCGUCAGCUAACCCGGUAGGCGGAAGGAGAGGAGAG